CUUCCUGCGCUGGGGCUCUGGACACACAGGCGACCAAGAAUGACGCCUGCAGCCGGAUAAACGCUCGGGGCAAGGCCGCUAUCAUCCCUCUGCCGGGAGUGAGUCAAGUCUCAGCAAAAGAAGAAGCCACUUUGGCCAAAAUUCCAAGAGUGCUGAUGAAGACGGUGACAUCUGACAUUUCAAUGGCACUUUCCAUUUCCCCCGGGGUGCGCAUUCCGGGCCAGUGGAGCGCUGCGUCGCCUGUGCAGGACCUGGAGGUCUGCAGGACUGUGACCAGUCGGAGUCUCGGAGUCGUGGGUUAAACAUUAGUCGGGAGCACUCGUUCAUUCCCUGAGCUCCCCUUGCCCUUCACCCUUCGGUCCCGGAAGCCGGAAGGGAGACUGCCCCGCCCCUUGCCUGCCGCCCAGUGGCUCUCCCGGGGCCCUCUUGGCCCCUCUCUCCCAGCCCUCCAUACAGUGAAGGGUUGUUUCCGCUGGUGACUUCCACCUGUGGGAGCAGAGAAAGGAAGCGGGGCAGAGGAGAAGGGGAAGGUGUCAGGCGAUUCCCCUCCUUGCGCUGCAAGCCGGGUGGGAAUAGAACACCUGCAGCCCUCCCCGGCGCCCUGCGAAUGAGGUAUUCACUUCAUCCAAGGCUGCCCAAUGUCACCUUCCACCCAGAGGAAUCUCCCCUCUCCACCCCAGGCCAACAGCCUCUGCCUUCAGCUGUGGCCUCCACUCUGGCAUUACUCUGGGCAGAGGGCUCAGGAGGGCUCAAGGAGGACCAGUGACAUUCAGAGUGGCCAGAGUAAAGGGAGGGAGGGGGAGUGGUGGGAGAGGCGUGCAGAAGGCACAGGUGAGGUGGCGGAGGGGGGCAGGUGGUGGGGGGAGCGGGCUGGGGUGGGAUGGGCCUGUCAGCAUAGCAAGGGCUGUGAUGGGCUUGAGUCUGACAGGGGGCAAUGACCUGACCUACGGUUUUGUAAGAUCACUCUGGCUGCCACCUGGAGAGCUGGUGUGGGGAUGAUGGCCAUGGUAGACACAAGGGGAGCAGUUAGGAGACCACCACAAGUGACCAUGCGGCCCAGGCGAGUAGGGUAGCAACAGAGAUGGGGAGAGGAGGUCAGAUUUGUGAUCUGUAUCUGAAGGUGGAAUGGACAGGAAUUGCUGAUGAGCUUGGGUGUGGUGCAUGAGGGAAAGAGAGAAAUAAGCAUCAUUCUUAGGAUUUGUCCUGAGCAACUGGAAGAAAAAGAAUGACAGUGGCUAAUACGGUUAGCCAGGCGCUCCUCUAAACCCUUCACAUAGUUUAACCUGUCUAGAUUUCAUAACACUCCUAUGAAUUAGGAAUUAGUUCUUCCCACAUUUUACAGAAGAGGCAAUCGAGGCCCAGAGAGUUGAAUCAGUUUGCAUAAAGUCCCACCAUUAGCAAAUGGAAAAGCUGGAAUUUGGACCCAGCACUUCACCACUGCACACUUCCCCGGCUUUACAGAAAGAGAAAUGCCGUGAACUGAGCUAGAUGAGCCCGGGGGAGGAAUGGGGUUUUUCCGUGGGGGUGUGAAUCAAGAGUUCUAGUUGGAAUGAAUUCAGGCUGAGGUGCCUUUUAAACAUCCAAGUAGAGAUAUUUAGCUCAGCAGAUGGAUGUAUGACUCAGGCCCUGGGUGGCAAGGAGGAGCAUCUGGGGCUGGCGUGUUAAGCAUGGAGAGGAGACAGGAGAAGAGGGCAGAAGGCUGGGAAGUGGGAUUAAAUGCUGCAUGUGAACGGAUGAGGACAGAAAUGGAUACUUUAGAGCAUCCUGUCAAGCCUUGGGGUGUCGGGUGAUGAGUGUGUUUAGGAAAUAUUAUUCUAGAGCAGUGCUUGUUUUUGUUUGAGGAUUCAAUAAAGGCUGUCACCUUGUUCCAGAAAAA